rnacentral:lncRNA from 1 species
UCAAUAGAAUGCACAAGUCCAGGUUUUUGCUUUUCACCAGGUUCCUUAUUAUAUAAGCCUUCUAGACAACCUCCAAUGUAUUUCUUAACAUAUUUUAUCAUACCUGAGAACCAGUAUAAUUGAGAUAUUGCCGAAAUAGUCUUUUCUACUGACAUGUGACCAGUUCCAUCAUGAUAAUGCAAAACAACCUGCCUGCGGGCUUGCCUUAUAGCAACCUACCUUUUGCCUUCUGAAGUUUUUGGAUAUAGUCGAUUGUUUACAGUGCAGUAGUUUUGAUGGAUAUCUUUUUCUUCCUUAUCUGAUGGAGAUUUCGACAGCAGAUCUAUGAUAGUGUUGCAUCUUUCAUCUUUUAAUUGGGCAUGUAAGAUCCAAUCUUCUUGAUCGAUGUUCACAAGGUUUAUCUCAACCGUGAGUGCCUCCUCUGGAAUUUCUGUAACAGGAUUUCUGCUUAGAGCGUCCGCGUAUAGCAUUUUCGUACCUAGACGGUAUUCAAUGUCGAAAGUGAAUUCUUGAAUGGUUAACCACCAUCUUCCAAUCCUGG